UAUGGCCAAAUCAUGUUGAAAGCAACAGUUCUUGUUCAAUCACCAAAGUUAAGCAGUGUUGAGCCUGAUCAGUACUUAGAUGGGGGACCACUUGAGAACAUCACAUACUGUA